rnacentral:snRNA from 1 species
GUGCUUGCUUCAGCAGCACAUAUACUAAAAUUAGAACUAUACAGAGAAGAUUAGCAUGGCCCCUGCACAAGAAUGACACGCAAAUUUGUGAAGAAUUUCUUAUUUUU